rnacentral:rRNA from 1 species
CGCGAAAAACCUUACCCACCUUUGACAUGUACGGAAGUCGCCAGAGAUGGCUUCGUGCUCGAAAGAGAACCGUAACACAGGUGCUGCAUGGCUGUCGUCAGCUCGUGUCGUGAGAUGUUGGGCUAAGUCCCGCAACGAGCGCAACCCUUGUCAUUAGUUGCUACAUUCAGUUGGGCACUCUAAUGAGACUGCCGGUGACAAACCGGAGGAAGGUGGGGAUGACGUCAAGUCCUCAUGGCCCUUAUAGGUGGGGCUACACACGUCAUACAAUGGCUGGUACAAAGGGUUGCCAACCCGCGAGGGGGAGCUAAUCCCAUAAAACCAGUCGUAGUCCGGAUCGCAGUCUGCAACUCGGCUGCGUGAAGUCGGAAUCGCUAGUAAUCGUGGAUCAGAAUGUCACGGUGAAUACGUUCCCGGGU